UAAUACAGAGGGUGCGAGCGUUGUCCGGAAUCACUGGGCGUAAAGGGCGCGUAGGCGGCCUGGUAAGUAGGAGGUGAAAUUCUGCGGCUUAACCGCAGAGCUGCCUUCUAAACUGUCAGGCUUGAGCACGGUAGAGGCUGGUGGAAUUCCCGGUGUAGCGGUGGAAUGCGUAGAGAUCGGGAAGAACAUCGGUGGCGAAGGCGGCCAGCUGGGCCGUUGCUGACGCUGAGGCGCGAAAGCGUGGGGAGCAAACAGGAUUAGAUACCCUGGUAGUCCACGCUGUAAACGAUGGGUACUAGGCGUCGGGGGGAGCGACCCUCUCGGUGCCGUCGCUAACGCAGUAAGUACCCCGCCUGGGGAGUACGGCCGCAAGGCUG
rnacentral:rRNA from 1 species